AAGUAAAGGAGGGGUCUUGAAACGCGGUAAAUCCUGCGUGUCGCUACAGUCGCAACGCCUCACUAAAGAAACUCAAAUGAGGUUCGGAGAUUCUUGUUCAUCGUUUCCGCAUUCGGAGCACAGAUGAUACCAUAAGAGCAGGAUGUUUGAAGCGUUACACCCCACCACCCCCCAGGGAUGAGUCGUCCCGCAUCCUGCUUCAGAGACGUCCGACUUCUCUACAUGUCUUCGGCGAGCAUCAGACAAGCACGGCACUGUGGUAAAAUACCACGGGUUCACAAAGGUGACAUUAUCCGGCGGUGGUCCAGAACAGCCACACUGGACCCCGCCAGAUGGGAGCAGGUGACCUGCUGCAGGGAGGGAAGGGGCAGCAGCAGAGCCGUGUCUCCGACCCGUCGCUCGCCGGUGAGCUUUUCGCAGGAGUCCGAGCUCCUCGGCCCCUUCGAAGGUCUUGCGCUUGUACGCUGCUAGUGACCGUGUUAACUUCACUGUUCAGGAUACUGACCCUGCCCCCCCGUAUCAGAGCGGUUAACGAUCCGCUUCACGCCCCUCGCUAUGAUCGCACGGCUUUAAG